rnacentral:rRNA from 1 species
ACUACAUGAAGCUGGAAUCGCUAGUAAUCGCGGAUCAGAAUGCCGCGGUGAAUACGUUCCCGGGUCUUGUACACACCGCCCGUCACACCAUGGGAGUCGGAAAUGCCCGAAGUCUGUGACCCAACCAUUAAGGAGGGAGCAGCCGAAGGCAGGUCGGAUGACUGGGGUGAAGUCGUAACAAGGUAAC